CCUACGGGAGGCAGCAGUGGGGAAUAUUGGACAAUGGGGGGAACCCUGAUCCAGCAACGCCGCGUGAGUGAAGAAGUAUUUCGGUAUGUAAAGCUCUAUCAGCAGAGAAGAAAGAAAUGACGGUACCUGACUAAGAAGCCCCGGAUAACUACGUGCCAGCAGCCGCGGUAAUACGGAGGGGGCAAGCGUUAUCCGGAUUUACUGGUUGUAAAGGGAGCGUAGGCGGGGAUGCAAGUCUGAAGUGAAAGGCGGGGGCCCAACCCUAGAACUGCUUUGGAAACUGUAUGGCUGGAGUGCAGGAGAGGUAAGUGGAACUCUUAGUGUAGCGGUGAAAUGCGUAGAGAUUAGGAGGAAUACCAGUGGCGAAGGCGGCUUACUGGACUGUAACUGACGCUGAGGCUCGAAAGCGUGGGGAGCAAACAGGAUUAGAUACCCGUGUAGUC
rnacentral:rRNA from 1 species